rnacentral:rRNA from 1 species
UACGUAGGGGGCUAGCGCUGUCCGGAAUCAUUGGGCGUAAAGCGCGCGUAGGCGGCCCGGUAAGUCCGCUGUGAAAGUCAAAGGCUCAACCUUUGAAUGUCAGCCGGAUACUGCCGGGCUAGAGUCCGGGAGAGGAGAGUGGAAUCCGUGGUGUAGCGGUGAAAUGCGCAGAUAUCAGGAAGAACACCCGUGGCGAAAGCGGCUCUCUGGAACGGUACUGACGCUGAG